UAUUUUUCAUAAGUUGUCCUAUUGUCAGUUUUACACCACUAAGAUCAUCAUGGCUGGAGAGAAGCACCGCCACCACCUCGUCCACCACCACAAGGAAGAGAAGCCUGUCGAGAGAAGCACCACUAAGACCAUCAUGGCUGAAGAGAAGCGCCACCACUACCACCACAAGGAAGAGAAGCACCACCACCACCUCGUCCACCACCACAAGGAAGAGAGAAGCACCACUAAGACCAUCAUGGUUGAAGAGAGAAGCACCACUAAGACCAUCAUGGUUGAAGAGAAGCACCACCACCACCUCGUCCACCACCACAAGGAAGAGAAGCACCACCACCACCUUGUCCACCACCACAAGGAAGAGAAGAAGCACCAGCACCACCUCGUCCAGCACCAGCACCAGCACCAGCACCACCUCGUCCAGCACCACCACCACCACCACCACCACCACCACAAGGAAGAGAAGCACCACCACCACAAGCCUGUCGAGAGAAGCACCACUAAGACCAUCAUGGCUGAAGAGAAGCACCGCCACCACCUCGUCCACCACCACAAGGAAGAGAAGCACCGCCACCACAAGCCAUAAUAAAAGGCAUAAUAGUCUCUUGUAUACUGUUUGUUCUGGCUUGAUGGUGCUGAUUUGAGUUAAAAAAGAUAAUGACUAUGUUGAUGAUGACACAUUUUCUGCCUUGGGAACCAAUUAUAAUAUAGGAUCCGAAUAGUUGCUUUUAUCUUUAUAAUUUAUGUUUCACAUGGAAAGAUAUUCAAUUCUCAUCUUUGAUACAUGUCACUACUUUGUUGCAAUUCAGUCAAGUUUAUUCAUACUUGAACAAGGCGGUGUCCUGAAAAUAUGACAUCUAUUAGUUAUACAAUGUUUAUUGUUGCUUGACUAACUUGCAGUCUUGGGUGGUUAACUUGUGCAUUGAUCCAGCUUGAGUUAAGUACUUGGUUACUCAGCGUUUGCUCUGACAUAUAUUCUUCAGUAAAUGCGGCAGGCUGAAUUGUUUACAAAUUACCGGUUCAAUUGUUGCUGUGUAAGCGAUGUACUGCAACUCCUGCAACUUAUAUUGAUCGUGCUUUGCUGGUAUCGUCCCCUGUACUUGCUUGUCCUUGGUUUUCUAUUCUGUUAAACCUACAACUCCAAUUUUAAGUUCCUUUAUCCUGUGUGUUUCUCUUCUUUGCUGCUCAGUACUCCAGAACUAUGACCGUAUCCAUUAACCGUCCCUCCUCAUAAAUUACUACUAGCAGUGAAAAUCACUGGAGUCAUUUCUUGCUGCACUCUUGAAAAGCACUGUCAUGUACAAUUCCAUUGUACUUUACCUGACUUGCUGCCUUAACCAUCUGACAUUAGCAUGUUUCCGCUCAAAGUAUAGACCAAAAGAAAGGAAUUCUGAAAUCUUCUAUGGUUCAAUUGUCAUGAAUGUGAGUUUUCAUGAACAGACAACGUGGCUUUAACUGCUUAUUUGCUUUUGCCUUUUUGUGUAGGAAACUUUUGUUUCUGGUGUUGAUGGUCUCAACUUAACUUCCAAUGAAGACUCGUACAAAUCCAAGGCAACUACGAAAUUCAUGGAUUCAAUUGAUGGUGCUAUUGAUGAGUAUUUGACCUUUAACAAUCCCGAGUCAUGCUGUGAGAAGCUUGAGGAUUUGCUUACACAUGGGCACCUUCAGGGGCCACUGAGACCAAAGCCAGAAAAGUCACCUCAAUGCAUAAGGUUACACUUGUUUCAUCAUCAAUCUCUACAUGCAUACACCACACUUGCUUCAGCAUACAGAGUCCGUGCUAGUGACCUCUUGGCUCUUAAUUCUGAAAAUCAUCAGCAUCAUAUGGAAGCUUUCACUCUGAGCAGAAUAAGUGCAGCCUACUCCUUGUUGUUGGCUAUAGUUACGCAUCAUCUUUUUCUUUCUGAAUCUUCAAUAAUUGUCUGUGUUGCGAAUUUCUGGAAAAAUGCCGGGGAGUCCCUAGUUUAUCUCUUUAGAAGCUCAGCCUGGGUUACAUUUUCCAGUUUGCACCAAUCUGUUUCUGAAAAUUCAUCCAUUCUAAGCCAUAAAUGCUGAAGAUCAAUUCUUUUAUUAAUACUGAAGAUCAAUAUGCAAUGUUUGGGGACAUAAGCAGGCAGCACAUAAAUUGUAUUGUCAACAUAACAGAAAAAGUAUGGAGCUUCCUUAGUCAUGAAAGUCGACAUCUGCAAGAAGUUAAAGAGCUCAUUGAUUUUUGAUGGCUUCUCACAGUGGAAACUCCCCUUGAUCUCGGAACUCGUAUUACUUGCCGGGAUAGCAGAACUGUUUCCAGACUUCAAAAAAAGGAGCAUGCCAACCUAGAGAGAGCAUAUCUCUUUCAGCUUGGUCUCCACUGCUUACACUAUGCAACAUACCUGUCAAGCAUCUGUUAUGGCCUAAAUUCCCUGUUGAUAGGUGAAGUUUGUCAAUCUUCUAUACUCUGAAGGUAUGUAUAGUGGCUGGUUAGUUCAACCAAUUUGGCUGAAAAUAUUAUCAAAAAAUAGCGAUGUGAAAAGGUCAUCAAAUAGAUGGUGAUCAAAAAGCUCAGUUCAUCACUCGUAUAUACCGUAUAGUUGAGUGUAUCUUUCCAGGAUUGAAUUCUCAUAGAUGGUGAUCAAAAAGCUCAAUUCAUCACUCGUAAUGCAUGCAAGCAGGAGCCCAAUAUUUCGUCCUCUUUCCAUUUGUUUUUUUUGGGCCACAGUCCUAGAAAUAAGCAUUUCAUGAGUUAAUUUUGGUCUACUGAAUUGAAUAAGAGUGAACUUUUGGGCCAAAUCAGGCUCCAAUUUCAAAUGUGGGUGCUGUUAUUGGGCCUCAAGAGAUUGGAUAAAGCCUGCCCACCUGACACCUAAGUAUCAAGGUCAAAUGACCUCAAACAAUCUAAUAUCCGUUCGCCAGUACUUUUAUUUGUUUAUUUUUUCUUGCCUUCAUAUUACACCCUUCUCGCCUUUAUAUUGUCUGAUUCAGAAUUCAAAAUCUGAAUCUCAUAAUUGAAAGGACGCUAAGAGCUUUUUUUUGACAAAUUUUUAUUUAUUUAUUUAUUACAUUCUUUCAUUCCUGUUCAUACCUUUUUCUUGCAGUCAUAUUAUACCCUUUUCUCCUUUGUACCGAGAGACUCAGAAUUCGAAAUCUGAACCUCAUAAUUGAAAGGACGUUAAGAGCCUAUUUUGACAACUGAACAAACCCUAAUAGUUUUAGUACUUACUUAAAAGAGUUUGUCAAUUUGUUGUUGUAGAGAGCUACAAUGACUUUAUGAAGGUAAAGUGGACAUUAAGUUUGGGCAGUGUCGAAUUUUACCUUUUCUUUUUCCCUUUCUUUUUGGUAGUAUGAUAUUAACUCGACAUUAUAAGAUUUUCAUGGGGGGUGGUUUGAAGUCUCCAUUUUGUUGCAACUAUUCAAAGAGUCAUGAAAUCUGUGAUUUCAUUUUCCAAGUGUGAAUAUUAGGUGGAUGGACAAAUCAACCUUCUUUUUUCCAUUCUUGGGGCAGAAUUUCUUCUCCCACGGAUGUUUCCUAUCCAUAUCACGAUAAUGUACUCUUCUUGAGCGAGUAAAUUAAUUGGUCCCCAAAUGGAAAUUUAGUUGGCACGUCUCACCGACCACGUUUCCUUAACAGCGAAGAAAAGGAAAUAUACAAAUGGAAAAUAAUCUGAAUCUAAACCACCCCAGAUAUCAACAUUCAAGUGGUGGAUAGUCAAUGCAUUUGGAUCAUUCAUGCAUCCAUCUUCCAACUUUGCUUAAAAUUGUGAACAAAGGGGUGGCAAACAACAUCAUAUCCAUGUGGUGGAGGCCAUACCUGUGAAUUGACCCUUCCAAACAGGCGUUAGAGCACAAUUGGUCAGAGAGGAGAAACUUGAAGGUGCAUAUGGCUAUGAGUUACAUCUGUAAAGUAAUAUCAACAUUAAUCGUCCAUUUGUAUCAAUCAUGGAUCAAUUGACAAAAAAAAACCCAAGUUGCAUCCUGUAUAGUUUGUCUGGGGAUGGGGUCUAUGUCAAUGAAUUGGAUGAAAGGAGAAGAAACUUCAAACUAUGAAUUUAUAAUUAGUGAUUGAGCUUAAUUCUUCAACCCAACCACACCAAACUUCUUGGUUAUUGGAGAACCAAAUCAUAUAUAUAUAUAUAUAAUAAAGUCGUAUCCUCAUUUAUCGUUUCAUGUUUUCUUUUUCUUAUGUGGCUUAACGAGAUAGCAAGUAAUUUUCUACGUGGCUUGCUUCUUUUUUGUUUGGAUUUAUAUCAAUUCUUAUUUCCUAUAUUAUAUGAUUGGUCCGAUAAAAUAUAUCAAUUCUUAGUCCGAUAAAAAUUGUUAGUCCGAUAAAAAUUGUGAUACAAAAUGGAUCAAUUGGAAAAAAAACCCCAAGUUGCAUCCUGUAUAGUUUGUCUGGGGAUGGGGUCUAUGUCAAUGAAUUGGAUGAAAGGAGAAGAAACUUCAAACUAUGAAUUUAUAAUUAGUGAUUGAGCUUAAUACUUCAACCCAACCAUACCAAACUUCUUGGUUAUUGGAGAACCAAAUUAUUUAAUAGUCGUAAGGUGGGAAAAAAAAAAGAAUUGCUUAAACAAUCUAGAAUACUUCUUUUUUUGGUAAAUAUCUAGAAAAUAUCUCUUUGGCUAUCUUGACCAAGAAAUACUGGUAGACCAUUUAACUUUCAAAAUGUUGAUUAUUGAUCACUAAGAUAUGUUUCAACCGCUUAAUCAUGAUUUAAUAGAGUUUUAAUUUCCCACUAUCCCUUGUCAAUCAGCAAAAUUGUGUUUGAUGACACGACUAAUUACCCUUCCAUAUAUAUAUAUAUAUAUCCUCCUUUUUCUAUCAAUUUUUUUUUUCAACGCCCGUUAAUCACGCUCCUAACACUAUCCAAUAACUAAGAUUUCUAGCCGAUUACUACUAAAUCAUCGCCUGUAGGCUAUAAAUAGCCUCCUCUCCACAAUCCAACAAACAGAAAAUUACCACCACUCAGAUCAGAUAUUUUUCAUAAGUUGUCCUAUUAUCAGUUUUACACCACUAAGACUAUCAUGGCUGAAGCCUUCCACCACCACAACCCCUUCCACCACCACAAGGAACAGACGGCUGCCGAAGCCGUUGGCUACUCCGACACCACCUACUCUGGAGGCUACGGUGGAGAGCCAGCACAUGAUUAUGAGAAAGAAAGAAAGCACCACAAGCACCUUGAGCAACUUGGUGGACUCGGUGCUGUCGCUGCUGGCGCCUAUGCCUUGGUAUAUUUCCGAUUUUGUGAUCCUUGCUUGUAUAACUCAGUUUUCAUGAUAAGCCACGAAGGCAUGCUUGUCUAUAAGAAGCCACAAAUUAAACUCAGUUUUUUUUUGUAUUAGUCCAUAAAGACUAAACAUUUUUGUUAUCAUUUCGUUUGAUCAGACAAUCAAAGAUUAUGUACGUCCAAUAUCAAAAGGGUUGUUCAGUAAAUCAGAAAAAUCUCUUUCGAAAAAUAAAAAAAAAAAGAUUAAAGAAUCUCUAGGGGGGAUAAAAUCGUAUGGUAUGGUCCAAUUAUAGUGUUGUGUUGAAUUUUAUGCUCUAAUCGGACUAAAAAUUUUGCAGUCAAUUGACUGUAUCAUAAACUCUUUUAAGUAGGACAUGGUUUUUGGCUUUACUAAUUUCUUGUUUGUUUUUUUUGUCGAAAUUUCCAUAAUCCAGCAUGAGAAGCACAAGUCCAAGAAAGAUCCUGAGCAUGCCCACAAGCACAAGAUAGAAGAAGAGAUUGCAGCAGUAGCUGCAGUGGGUGCCGGUGGAUUUGCGUUCCAUGAGCAUCACGAGAAGAAGGAUGCCAAGAAAGAAGAGGAAAAGGCUGAGGGAAAGCACCACCACCACCUAUUUUAGUUUAACCACUCGGAUUUUCAUUAAUCCUUGGGUGGUCUUUUUAAUAUUGUUCCCUUGUCUAUCUUCCAGUAUUGAGCUCGUACUGCCAAUAAUCAUGUUUAAUAAUCUGUUACUCAAAAAAAAAAAAAAAGUGUUGUUUUUCAUUUGAGUUGUGCGCCUGCUUUUGUUGGCGCUGCUGACUUUAUUAGAGUUUGUGUGAAGUGCUGUUGUUAUUAAUGAAAUGUUUGGUUGCAGUAUAAAAAUUAGAUAUCAGUUUGGAAUAUGCUCAAAGGAUGAUGAGUAUUCUUUUGGGCUCUAUCUGAUGAUCCGCAUAGAAAUUUGUUUUUUCCAAUAAUUUGUGACGUUACUCGAAAUGAAAUUUGUUAUGAUGUUGAUUGAAUAAUGAAUGUCUAUUAUACUUAAACAUUGAACACUAAUAGAACGUUGAGGUAUGGCCAUUUCUUGCGCCCCUUCCGUCUCCCGCGAUUAGGAUUUAUCCUAACUGAUUGGGAAAGGAUCAGGACCUAUAAAUAGCAAUGUCAUGAAAUUCCUAGCACUCACACUUAAUAACAAAAAAAUAUCAAAUUUUCAUUCUUAACCAUUACAAAUCGACAACCACAAUGGCUGAUCAGACUCAGCACCACCAUCUCUUCGGCCACCAUAACGAGGAAGAAAGGAAACACCACAAGCAUCUUGAGGAGCUCGAUGAGCUUGCAGCUGCUGCCGCUGGUGCCUACGCUUUGGUAAAAUUCUAAUGUUCUUGAUUUAAGCUGGUUUAUGUCCCCCAUAGAUUAAUCAAUCAAAAUAAAAAAAAAACAUGCUUUUUCAUUCACGGAAGAGGAAGAUCUAUGCAUCAAUUUUGGUACAACUAUUGUUAGACGUCUCCCCUAAAAAAUCAAGAUUGAUGAUGGGUUAGACAGUAGGGGACGUUCAUUUGUAUACUCUACUGUUGGGAGGAGAAGUUGCAUUUAAUUUUGGAGAAUGUCAAAAGCCAGUUUCUUAAAACCCAUAUGGUAGUGGGUUCAGAAUGGACUAGAUCUGCAGGUGGCUAAAAGGUGUUACAUCAACCGCUAUUUCUAAGAUAUCUAAAGAUUAGUGAUUCCUGAGCAAAACCAAGCCCAAGUAGUAUACUAAAACUUGUAGACAUAAUUAAUAUGGUCUGAGCCAAAAUAAUUUCUGAACUUUGUUAGCUCAUCUAUGGUGUGAAUUUGCAUGGAAUGAUGGUCAGCAUGAGAAGCACGAGGCCAAGAAGGAUCCGCAGAAUGCCCGCAGGCACAAGUUAGAAGAAGAGAUUGGUGCAGCAGCUGCAGUUGGAGCUGGCGGAUUGGCAUUCCAUGAGCAUCAUGAGAAAAAUAAUGCCAAAAAAGAAGAAGAAAAAGCCGAGGGAAAGCACCACCAUCUAUUUUGAAUUAUGAUAAGGGUUCCUUCAAUUUUCUUGCUAGUUCACAUCCAGGUUUCUACUUUGACAAGAAAUAAUUAUGUUUGUUUUUUCUCUAAAAACAAAAGGUAAUGUCAAUUUAUCUUGGGGAUUUCGUCUUGAUUUUAUUGGCGCAACUGACCUAGCACAUUUGUGGUGGAAUUGGUCUCAAUCUUACGUGCAAUUAUUUGUGUAAUAAUUCUAUCAUUAUGUUGGUAUCGUAUAAUCUAUGUAAUAAUUGAUGGAUUUUCUUAGCCAAAGAUAUAACAAAAUAGCCGACUGAUCACUGGUUAGAGUCAUAAAGGGAUAAGUGAAAAAUCACUGUUGAUCAUUUUUAAGGUAAAAAAAAAAGAAGUAAAUUUAUAGCAUUCAAUCUUUUCUUGAGGCUUUAUAUUCAUUUAAAGACUCAUGGAACAAUUAAACUUGUUGCAAAAAUAAUUUUGUUGGUUUUCCGACAUGUCAAUCUCAAUUGUUAAAAUUGUAAACUCUGAUUGGUGAGGCUGUAUAACAUCCAGCCCAUUUGGCGAUGUUAGGACCCAAAACUUAUCGUGAGGACCCUAUUGGAUGAGAGAGAUUCUUGAUUACGUUCCUUAUCUUCGUGAAGGUGACGGGCUAUCUACAUUAUUUCUCAAUUUAGUUCCUUUACCUUCGUAGAAAGUGACCAACCUAUAACAUUUGUGAUUUAACCGAAAAUUGUGGGAAACUAAAGAAUGAAUGAGUCACUUGAAUUGCUCCGAAACUAUUGGAAGGCAAUCUUUUAAGUGCCGAAAAAUAAAUAUUCUGUGGUGUUAAAGGAAUGAGAUGGGCGAACACUUGAGAUCCUCGGUAUCAUGUUUUUUAUGCCAAUCCAAUGCCACCUAUAGUAUUGCGCCAAGUGUUUUGUUAUUAUUUACACUUUAAUUUUCUAAUAAUUUAACUUGGUUUGGUUUAACACAAGUGUAAAUAAUAACAUGACACUUGGCGCAAUAUUAUGCGAAAUGGCUUCCUAAAAAAUAGCAUCCGCAUUUGUUUUUCAUUGAGAGGUAUUUCAGUUUUUCGAUCAAGUUAAUCCCUUAAAACUGUGUAGAGCCUUACUCCAAGGAUACACAGUCAGAUAACUCAUAGAAUCAAUCACGGAACCUAGCCUACUGAUAACUACCAGAUUACGAAACCAGUCAAAUUAGCGCGGGGCAAGCAUCCAUAUUUACAAAUGUGAAAUAUUGAUGCGAAAAGUUUUGACUGGCAUUCUGUAAAAGUUUUGAUGAAUAUGGCACUAUGAACCCUUAUUGAAAUAUUGCCGAAUUCCACAUUAUAGUAAGACAUCUAUUAGAAAAUUGAAAAUCUUGGUCCUUUGUCUUAAUUAACGUCACUGUUCUGUUAUCAUGGCCAUAGUCUUAGUCCCUUAACUAUAAAAAUUUGAUCAAUGUAGUCCGUUGAAUAGAAAAUUGGUCCAUAAUAAAUUUUAAAAAAAUUUAGUAGCAUCAGUUACACAACCUACACGACACGGCUAGAUAUUCCAGACACGAUACUUGACUAUUCUACCUGUGGCUUUCGUUAAUGGAGGAAAAAAGGUGAGAAGAAGACUCAGGGUCUCCGCCUGCAAGUACUGGCCAAAUGGUCAAAAUGAAUACGUAGCUGCCUGCCUAGAAUACUUGUUCAAUUUGAUGUUACAUAAAUUGGACAUUAGUCUUUGAUGAAAAUAGCUACUCAGCAAUGACAACGGUGUAUAGACACAUUAACACUCCACAAAGUAAAAAUUUUUGCCUCAAUUGGUAGGUGGAGGAGCGCCAUGUUUGUCUUUUGAUCAACAUAUAUUGUGGCCACAAAUCUCACUCCCAAGAUUUUGAUCAAGUUUGUCCCCGUUAAGGGCCAUAAUUUUGUGAUGAAUUUUUUUUUUUUGUCUUUUGAAUCAGUUUUAAAAAAUAUUCAAAUCAAUAUUGGAAGUUCCCAAGUUAUUCGUCAAAUCGCUUCUACGAGUUUCAAACUAUGUUAGCCGAACCAAGCAUGAAAAUUGGUUGUUUUAGUGCAAAAAUGAAGAGUAUAAGACUAAGAACGGCAAGGCAAAUUGAUUAACGGCUAAAUUUUACCAUUUAUUGUGUCUUGGAUAUGAUUUUUUUUUGGUCAAGCAUAGUUGCAAAAAUUGAUAACACGAAUUAGAGUUCAGACUUUAUAAUUUUACUGAAUCAUUUUAAGGAUUGAAACUGAGUAAAACUUUACGUCAUUUCAUUUUGCCCCCUUUCUCCCCCAUCUCCAAUUAAGGAUCUCGGGAUUCACAAGUUGCAUUUCGCUCCAUUUCAGAAUAAAAUGAUAAUUUUAAUUAUUUGUUUAUACUGUAUUCAAAUUAUUUACGCCAUAUUUAUAAUUUUCUUUUACACUAUAUUCUAACUCAUUUACACCCUAUUCUAACUCAUUUACACCAAGGACAAGCUUGUCUUGUGAAAACCCAUCCACCUCAAGUAAACGUCAACAUGAAAAAUCAAAGUGGGAAUGGGAAAUGUGGGGAACUCCAACCACACAAGAGCAAGAUGUCCAAUAGGAUGAUGGGGAAUACUAGAAGUUUACUAGUACACUGAAUUGAAACUAUAUAAUUUCUCAAACCAUUUUAGCAUUCUCGGCGUAGUUAGGAAUAUGUAGAACUACUGCUAGUUAUAUAUUGAUCUCAUGCCGUAUACUUAUCUGAUAGUUCUUUGGCCAUGGCCAGAACCGACUUCACGACGGGCAAGUUAUAUGUUCUCUUAAAGCUAGAAGGGCAAAUUGAUCUAUCGGGGUCGUUCUCAAUUAUCAUAGUUUCUAUGUGGAUCAAUUAGCCCUCUUGCCUUGAAAGAACAUAUAACUUCUGAUCCUGCAACUUCAAUCUUGGCAGAAAAUUGGUCUGCUGUAGUCUCCUUCAGCUACUGGAUUGGAGUCACUUGCAGCUCUCGCCACAAGGCAGGGUUACCGAGGUCAGUAUUUCGAACAUGGGUUUCGCGGGCAGCGCUCCUCCACACCUAGGAAACCUCUCGUUUCUUGUUUCUCAUAUCUUGCUUGUUUCUCUUGACAUGAGAAACAAAUUAACUGAAACGCUGUGCUGCCAGAAAAAAAUGGUUGAUUUGGGUCGAUUGAGAUACAUUGAUUAAAUUGGGAUACAAACAACUUUGUUGAAGAGGUACCAACAUGGUUCGGUUUGUUAGAUAAGCUUCAAUCCCUGCUUUUGUCCAAGAACCAGUUUAGUGGAUAUAUACCAACAGAAAUUGGGAAUCUGUACAAGCUGCACCUGAGAAUGUUCUCUAUAACAAUUUGGAAGGUACUUUCAUCCAUCUACUGGUCAUAUUUGUGCAAUUUGUCGCAAUCAAAAUCAAAUAAUAAAGUUUUUUUUUACAGACUUGAGAAGUAUGUAGUCAUGCCUACAUGCAAAAAAGUGGAACCAUGGUUCAAAGUCGCGGUCGCGGUCAUGGUCGCGGCCCGGAACGUUCCACGUCGGUCUCGGCAUAUCGGUCACGGUCUCGGUGAGACGCAAAUUUUAAAGUAUUUAAUAUUCUAAAAAUUGUUAAUAAUAUAAAAAAAAAGUAUGCUAAACAAAAAUAAUAAAAAAUAACAAAAGAAAUGGCCAAGUCAAUCCGUCACGGUGUAACUCGGCCGAUUUCUCGUCUUGACUCAGGAUAAUUCAGAGUGACUCGGUAUGACUCGGCUGAGUCAAUCCGUCGCGGUGACGUCUCGGCCGAUUUCUCGGCGAAUCAAGUAUCUCAGUAUCGUCUCGUCACGGUAUCGUAUCGGUAGAGGUCGAGACGGUGACGACUCGGCCGAGUCAUCUCGGUCUCGGCCGAGACUUCGAACCAUUAGUGGAACUGAACCAAUAUAAAUAUUAUCAAUUAGGUUAAUUACAUCUGAAAGCCAAGCAGAAGAAAAUAGCUAUAGGUUUCUGAUUCCAGCCCAUGUGCUAAUUUUUUCUGGAGAAGUUUACUCAAUUGUCUAGAUGUCAUGAAAAUUCUUAAUGUCAGAAAGUGAUAUAAUCUACAGUUUUGCAGGAGGAAUACCAAGAGAGAUUUGUAAUUUAACUGUGCUCAAUAGCCUGGUUUUACCAUUUAUGCAAUAACCACUUGACAGAUAGAUUAAUAACAAUAGUAUUCCUUUUUGUUGAUUAACCUUCAAAGAGGCUGAAUUAUCACGUUGAUUACCCCCAUGAACAUUCAUUUGCAUCAGUCUGUCUUGACUUUUUCAGUUGUCCAGUGACUGGUAGAUAGCAGCGCAGUUGUUUGGAUGGUAGCACUCUUGCAUUUUUUUAAAAAACUUUCUCACUUUUUUUUUUUUAAGUAAGAGAUAUUGAAUUCAGAAUCUUUUACAUAUAAUAUAAUCUUUGUUUUAUCACGUUAGAAUUAGAACUGACAUUCUAAUUAUAAUAUAAUACAAAGAUGAAAUAUCCUACAUCGGAUGGAGGAAAAGAAAAGGAAAUUAUAACGUCCAAUCCAUCAAAUUACCAAUAACUUUGGAUUAAUCAUUUUGAUCCCGUGGUUUUAGCUCAAAAAGAUAUUGGGUCAGUCCAACUGGCAUAGGGGUGUUACAAGUGGUAUUAGAGCGAAUUUGCAUGGGAUAAGUCUAAACCAGCAGGUUAUGGUUCAGAUUGCGCAACGAAGUGCAAGAAACAAAGUACUAUAUGGAGUUAAGGGUCACGUCGGACGUGGGUCAAUUUUAAAACCAUAUGAGACACGUCUAGAAUCCGCACAUGAUUAAGUGGAUAAUUUGAACCGUAACAGGCUUUAUGACAAUGCAAAGUUCUAAAGAGUUACCUCUAAAAUUUGCGGACAAGCUAACGAGUCACCUCUGAAAUUCACGUACGACUAAUGAGAAUGCAAAGUUCUAAAGAACCACCUCUAGAAUCUGCGUACAACCUAAAGAAUCACCUCUAAAAUUUGUGCACGACUAAAUGAACAGUUUGAAUUGUAAUAGGUUUUGUGAGAAUGCAACGUUUUAAAAGAUGGAGAGAGUGAAGUGUCCCACAUCAGACCCAUGAAAAGAAAAGAAAUAGUAUAUAACGUCCGAUCCAUCGAAUUACUAAUAACUUUGCAUUGACGAUUAUGAGAACCUAACAUCAGCUCAAAAACCUGUUGGGUCAGUCUAGUGGGCGUGGGAUGUGACGACCCCACCUCCCCCUAAGGCGUACCAAAGGGUUCGGCGGACCGCCUGCCCAGCUCUCGCCAGGACUCACUCACUAUCUCAAUCGAAUCGUAUACACACAUCCAUGAACCAUAAAUAACAUUCACAAUUCAAACUUAUAAUUUACAUUGAUAGGAAUCGAGGUACAAAGUCUUAAUACACCCAACUAGUUCAAAAAGUAUACAAUCCAAGUACAACAUGUUCCGUUCGAGGAAAAACGCGAGUACAAGACCAAAAGUCCGAAGUCAAAACAAAAGGCUACACUAGUCUUUUACAAGUCCCUCGCGUCACUCGUACCCCUGUAAGGAAAACAAACUAAUGGGGUGAACCAAAGCUCAGUGAAGUUCCCAAAUAUCAAAUUGGUCAACAACCAAGUUAUAGCAAAAUAAAAGUGAAAUAGCGAGCAAACAAGUCAAAUCAGGGAAAUAGUACUUCAGCUAGCCAAGUAGUCAGAUUCAUAUUCACAUAUAAGGAUACAGUACUCAUUUUCAGCUCCAUUCCAGCUUGGUUAAGUGGUAGUUGACACUCCGUCAACUUUCAAGUAAUAUCCAGUCCAAAUAAACUCCACUACACGCCAAUUUCCGUCCACCGAUCAACCCCCUAUUCCGGGCCCGCACGCCAUACAAAACAUGGGUGGUAAUACUCGAGUAUACUGUUAGUCGAGGAGAUAACACUCCACUCGACAUUACAAGUGACCCAGGGUUUGUUAUCUAAUCGACCAGGCCCUUGCCGGCUCGACUCGAUUAACUAGCCACAGGGUUUUCUGGAAUUCCAGGCAAGAUAUAAUUCAAGUACAUGUACAACAAGUCAAGUAUGAUCAAUAGCAAGAACAGGUCAUAUUAGGGCAAGUGCGAUAAAGUACACCCUUGCCCUUUCAUUCAUUGUCAUGUAAUCACGCAAGUCAAGUAAGGAGUACACAUAUCAAGUACAAUCGGAUAUUUGGAAGCACUCACCAAAAUAGUGCUUCUAGUGCUCGUGUCUGGGUGGUACUCCGAGUUGGGAGUCCAAAUCUGCGAUAAAACUUAACUUGAGAACUUUGAAAAUCAACCAAGGUUUGAAACUUAAGUGUUUCGUUCAAUAAGAAUCAAGAAAUUGAAAUUCACUUGAGAAGAGUCGUGAAAUAGUUGCUCGCUCUUUAAACUGAAAAAUUAAAUAACAUUUUUGCUUGAAGAUGACUCUUGAGUCAAAAGUGCAAGUAAAACGGUUUCGUAGUGAUUCAUAUCAUUUUCCUAAGGGUACAAGUUCGGCCAAGUCCUAACAUAUAACCCUCGAUAAACAAGUGGCAAAAGUCCUCGAUAGUUCAAGUAAUAAUCACUUAACCUUCACUCAAGUCGCAAAGAUAGUUUUCUAGACCUCGAGUAAAAAUUUGGGCAGCAUGCCCUUUGUGUUUACCUAAUUUCCAGCCAUUUAGGCUUCAUUAUUUUUCUUCAACAACAUCCCAACAUCAUACAAAUAAGCAAUUUAUGUCAAGAGCCGUUCCAUAGGCUCACAAUAUCAUAACAACACGAAUUGCAUCAAGUACAAGUGCAGAAACGCAAUGUAGUUCAAUACAGAUUUGACGUACAAAUGCGGUAAUACCAUACCUGAGGCUACGCUUAUCGGAUUAAAACGAAACCUACGCCGUUUCGAAGCUAAGGCACAGAGCUACAACAUUCAUGAAGGUCACUUAGUCCAUUUCCUAAUGUAACUUAGUCAAAAUCUCAGAUUACUAAACCAGAAACCAAUUCACCGGCAGUUUAAACGCAUUAUGCUGUAAUGGACCUAACUCAGUGUACACAAGUCCGAAUCAGGUUUUCUUUGAGGCAUUUUAAAGCUACUUCAGAACACUACAACUUUUAUGUUUUGGCCCAGAGCUAAAUCAGAAUGGAUCCUGGUCAAAAAUCGUGAUAAACUGGACUGAACUGAAGAAACGGACUGCUGGGAAAUUCUUAAAACAGUAGGGGUAUUUUGGACUUUUCACAUUCUGCGUUGCUCCGAUUGAGCUGAAAUUUUAUAGGCACCUAUAAAAUACCAUUCUCUACAACUUUCCUUCUUUGACCAAAGGCCAAUUCGGCCUCUAACAUAUAGAUACAAUUUCGGACAGAAUGCUUGGGAAAUUUUCCAGAAAUCUGGAAUUGUUUAGCUCUAAGUGAAUCUCAAAUUUCUGGUUCUAAUCACCACUAAACACCUUAUAUAACUUUAAUUGCAACAUUCAUGCAUCAUACAUCAACUUGAGCAGAAAAUCAGAAACCCUAGUUCAUCAAAUAAAUUGGGGAAAAACUUCUACACAUGCUAGCAUCCAUGAAUCUACCACCAAUCAAGCUACUAAGCUUACUUUAACCAUGAUUGAAAGAGAAAGUUAGAGAGAUAUCAUCCUCUUACCUUGAUUUGAGUCUCCAAGAUAGCACCAAGCUCUUCUCUUCCCAAAACUUCCACCACCA
rnacentral:lncRNA from 1 species